rnacentral:rRNA from 1 species
UGCCAGCAGCCGCGGUAAUACGGAGGGUCCAAGCGUUGUUCGGAAUCAUUGGGCGUAAAGCGGGUGUAGGCGGCUUGGCAAGUCGGAUGUGAAAUCCCAGGGCCCAACCCUGGAACUGCAUUCGAAACUGCCUCGCUAGAGUCGCGGAGAGGAUGGCGGAAUUCCCGGUGUAGGGGUGAAAUCCGUAGAUAUCGGGAGGAACACCAGUGGCGAAGGCGGCCAUCUGGACGCUGACUGACGCUGAGAUCCGAAAGCGUGGGGAGCAAACAGGAUUAGAA